rnacentral:rRNA from 1 species
UACGAGGGGGGCGAGCGUUGUUCGGAAUUAUUGGGCGUAAAGGGUGCGUAGGCGGCCUGACAAGUCUGAUGUGAAAUCCCUGGGCUCAACCCAGGGCCUGCAUCGGAAACUGUCGGGCUUGAGUAUGGGAGAGGUGAGUGGAAUUUCCGGUGUAGCGGUGAAAUGCGUAGAUAUCGGAAGGAACACCUGUGGCGAAAGCGGCUCACUGGACCAUUACUGACGCUGAUGCACGAAAGCUGGGGGAGCAAACAGG